UGGGGAAUAUUGCACAAUGGGCGAAAGCCUGAUGCAGCAACGCCGCGUGAGUGAUGAAGGUCUUCGGAUUGUAAAGCUCUGUCUUUUGGGACGAUAAUGACGGUACCAAAGGAGGAAGCCACGGCUAACUACGUGCCAGCAGCCGCGGUAAUACGUAGGUGGCGAGCGUUGUCCGGAUUUACUGGGCGUAAAGGGUGCGUAGGCGGAUGUUUAAGUGAGAUGUGAAAUACCCGGGCUUAACUUGGGUGCUGCAUUUCAAACUGGAUAUCUAGAGUGCAGGAGAGGAGAAUGGAAUUCCUAGUGUAGCGGUGAAAUGCGUAGAGAUUAGGAAGAACACCAGUGGCGAGCGUCNUCGNCUGUAACUGACGCU
rnacentral:rRNA from 1 species